AUUGAACGCUGGCGGCGUGCCUAACACAUGCAAGUCGAGCGGUAACAGGUGUAGCAAUACAUGCUGACGAGCGGCGAACGGGUGAGUAAUGCUUCGGAAUCUACCCAAUGGUGGGGAAUAACCAGCCGAAAGGUUGGCUAAUACCGCAUACGUCCCACGGGAGAAAGCAGGGGAUCGCAAGACCUUGCGCCAAUGGAUGAGCCGAAGUCGGAUUAGCUAGUUGGAGGGUAACGGCCUACCAAGGCGACGAUCCGUAGCUGGUCUGAGAGGACGACCAGCCACACUGGGACUGAGACACGGCCCAGACUCCUACGGGAGGCAGCAGUGGGGAAUAUUGGACAAUGGGGGAAACCCGUACGAUCCAGCGACGCCG
rnacentral:rRNA from 1 species